AGAGUUUGAUCCUGGCUCAGAACGAACGCUGGCGGCAGGCCUAACACAUGCAAGUCGAGCGAGACCUUCGGGUCUAGCGGCGGACGGGUUAGUAACGCGUGGGAACGUACCCUUUUCUAAGGAAUAGCCACUGGAAACGGUGAGUAAUGCCUUAUACGCCCUUCGGGGGAAAGAUUUAUCGGAGAAGGAUCGGCCCGCGUUAGAUUAGAUAGUUGGUGGGGUAAUGGCCUACCAAGUCUACGAUCUAUAGCUGGUUUGAGAGGAUGAUCAGCAACACUGGGACUGAGACACGGCCCAGACUCCUACGGGAGGCAGCAGUGGGGAAUCUUAGACAAUGGGCGCAAGCCUGAUCUAGCCAUGCCGCGUGAGUGAUGAAGGCCUUAGGGUCGUAAAGCUCUUUCGCCUGUGAAGAUAAUGACUGUAGCAGGUAAAGAAACCCCGGCUAACUCCGUGCCAGCAGCCGCGGUAAUACGGAGGGGGUUAGCGUUGUUCGGAAUUACUGGGCGUAAAGCGCGCGUAGGCGGACAUUUAAGUCAGAGGUGAAAUCCCAGGGCUCAACCCUGGAACUGCCUUUGAUACUGGGUGUCUUGAGUUCGAGAGAGGUGAGUGGAAUUCCGAGUGUAGAGGUGAAAUUCGUAGAUAUUCGGAGGAACACCAGUGGCGAAGGCGGCUCACUGGCUCGAUACUGACGCUGAGGUGCGAAAGUGUGGGGAGCAAACAGGAUUAGAUACCCUGGUAGUCCACACCGUAAACGAUGAAUGCCAGUCGUCGGGCAGUAUACUGUUCGGUGACACACCUAACGGAUUAAGCAUUCCGCCUGGGGAGUACGGUCGCAAGAUUAAAACUCAAAGGAAUUGACGGG
rnacentral:rRNA from 1 species